GACGAACGCUGGCGGCGUGCUUAACACAUGCAAGUCAAGCGGUAAGGCCCCUUCGGGGGGUACACGAGCGGCGAACGGGUGAGUAACACGUGAGUAACCUGCCCCUGACUCUGGGAUAAGCCUGGGAAACUGGGUCUAAUACCGGAUAUGACCUCGUGCCGCAUGGUGUGGGGUGGAAAGGUGUUUUUCCGGUCAGGGAUGGGCUCGCGGCCUAUCAGCUUGUUGGUGGGGUAACGGCCUACCAAGGCGAUGACGGGUAGCCGGCCUGAGAGGGUGGACGGCCACACUGGCACUGAGACACGGGCCAGACUCCUACGGGAGGCAGCAGUAGGGAAUCUUGCGCAAUGGGCGAAAGCCUGACGCAGCGACGCCGCGUGAGGGAAGAAGGCCUUUGGGUCGUAAACCUCUGUCGGAGGGGACGAAGGACGUGACGGUACCCUCCAAGGAAGCCCCGGCUAACUACGUG
rnacentral:rRNA from 1 species